GACGAACGCUGGCGGCGUGCUUAACACAUGCAAGUCGAGCGGUAAGGCCCUUUCGGGGGUACACGAGCGGCGAACGGGUGAGUAACACGUGGGUGACCUGCCCUCAGCUCUGGGAUAAGCCUGGGAAACUGGGUCUAAUACCGGAUAUGACUCCAUGACGCAUGUUGUGGGGUGGAAAGCCUUGUGCGGCUGAGGAUGGGCCCGCGGCCUAUCAGCUUGUUGGUGGGGUGANGGCCUACCAAGGCGACGACGGGUAGCCGGCCUGAGAGGGCGACCGGCCACACUGGGACUGAGACAC
rnacentral:rRNA from 1 species